CAAUAUCAUUUCCCUUUCUUUUAGUCUUUUGUGAACUGAUCCCUUUAACUAAACCAGUGCUGUGAUGACAUCAUCGCAUGGGAAGUGACAUCAUUUUGGAGGGAAAGCAACAGCACCAGCACCAGCAUUAACGCUGUUGAUAGAGCUUAACUCAUCCUGAAGCCGGAACAUUCCCGUAGCAGCAGAAGUGCUGGAAUGCCACAUGGUUUUAAUGCCCCACCCAGCGCUGGAAGGAUGACAUGCAGUGCCCCGACCCCCCGCCUCUGGAGCUUGAAAGUCUCAGUCUCCAUUCUUUGCAACUGUAAAGAGCAUCCAGCACAAUUAAUUAAAAUCCAGAAGAUAGAAAGUCAUGAAUGUU
rnacentral:lncRNA from 1 species